rnacentral:rRNA from 1 species
GCUUGCGCAGCCAUGGGUGUCGCGUGGUGCCGGCGUGCACUGCGCACACGUGUAAACCCCAUAGGCGUAGACAACUCGAACAAAGAUGAAUGUCCUAGGGAUUACGGGUUCGGCAACGGCGCAAGCCUUCGUCGGGCCCCUCCAUCCCGGGGUGUCCCGCCGCCGGGCUCCGGCCCGAGUGGGCAUCCCUCGAGUGUGUAGGAUGUGACCCGAAAGAUGGUGAACUAUGCCUGAUCAGGCCGAAGUCAGGGGAAACCCUGAUGGAGGGCCGAAGCAAUUCUGACGUGCAAAUCGAUUGUCAGAGUUGGGCAUAGGGGCGAAAGACCAAUCGAACCAUCUAGUAGCUGGUUCCUUCCGA